rnacentral:rRNA from 1 species
UACGGGGGGAGCAAGCGUUGUUCGGAUUUACUGGGCGUAAAGGGCGCGUAGGCGGCGUGACAAGUCACUUGUGAAAUCUCCGGGCUUAACUCGGAACGGUCAAGUGAUACUGUCGUGCUAGAGUACAGAAGGGGCAACUGGAAUUCUUGGUGUAGCGGUGAAAUGCGUAGAUAUCAAGAGGAACACCUGAGGUGAAGACGGGUUGCUGGGCUGACACUGACGCUGAGGCGCGAAAGCUAGGGGAGCAAACGGG